AGGCGGGGAGGGUCGGGGUGCUAGCCGUACCCCAAACUGGAAAUCGGCUUCAUGCUAGGACCAGCAACUGCUAGGUAAAUCCGCAGAUGGGAGUCACCUGCUAGACUCGUUGAAAUGAAAUCACGCCGAAUCGGAUGGGUAUGAGCAACAUUCUUCAUGAAGAUGAAGUUUUGAUUGUGUAUACUCGAAAUGGGUGAGGUCCGGGAGGGAGCAACCCUAAGGUCACAUAUCCAUGCUGGUUCGUCUACGUGGUAGAUCAUACAGGUCUUGAGAUUGGGACUUUUAUUUACGGUGGUACUGGUGGGCCGUCU
rnacentral:SRP_RNA from 1 species